rnacentral:rRNA from 1 species
CGGAUGAGUAACACGUAUGCAAUCCACCUGUAACAGGGGGAUAACCCGGAGAAAUCCGGACUAAUACCCCAUAAUAUGGGCGCUCCGCAUGGAGAGUCCAUUAAAGAGAGCAAUCUUGGUUACAGACGAGCAUGCGCUCCAUUAGCCAGUUGGCGGGGUAACGGCCCACCAAGGCGACGAUGGAUAGGGGUUCUGAGAGGAAGGUCCCCCACAUUGGAACUGAGACACGGUCCAA